AACUUAGUUAUGGUUGGAGAGAUGG
rnacentral:piRNA from 1 species